rnacentral:rRNA from 1 species
UACGAAGGGGGCUAGCGUUGCUCGGAAUUACUGGGCGUAAAGCGCAUGUAGGCGGCUUUCUAAGUCGGGGGUGAAAUCCUGGAGCUCAACUCCAGAACUGCCUUCGAUACUGGAAAGCUCGAGUCCGGGAGAGGUGAGUGGAACUGCGAGUGUAGAGGUGAAAUUCGUAGAUAUUCGCAAGAACACCAGUGGCGAAGGCGGCUCACUGGCCCGGUACUGACGCUGAGGUGCGAAAGCGUGGGGAGCAAACAGG